rnacentral:rRNA from 1 species
AGAGUUGAUCCUGGCUUAGGAUGAACGCUAGCUACAGGCUUAACACAUGCAAGUCGAGGGGCAGCAUUGGGGUAGCAAUACUCAGAUGGCGACCGGCGCACGGGUGAGUAACACGUAUCCAACCUGCCGCUUACUCGGGGAUAGCCUUUCGAAAGAAAGAUUAAUACCCGAUGGUAUAAAGAGUUCGCAUGUUCUCUUUAUUAAAGAAUUUCGGUAAGCGAUGGGGAUGCGUUCCAUUAGAUAGUUGGCGGGGUAACGGCCCACCAAGUCUACGAUGGAUAGGGGUUCUGAGAGGAAGGUCCCCCACAUUGGAACUGAGACACGGUCCAAACUCCUACGGGAGGCAGCAGUGAGGAAUAUUGGUCAAUGGACGAGAGUCUGAACCAGCCAAAGUAGCGUGAAGGAUGACUGCCCUAUGGGUUGUAAACUUCUUUUAUAAGGGAAUAAAGUGAGGGACGUGUCCCUUUUUGUAUGUACCUUAUGAAUAAGGAUCGGCUAACUCCGUGCCAGCCGCGGC